CGUACACCAUCCUUAUUAUUCAAUCGGUCACAUAUUUUCCAGUAUCUGUUCCAGUUUAGGCUACUUUAUUGAGGUAAACACAUUUAAUCCAAAGAUGUGAAAAGAGUACACUGUAAACGAUUUCAGUUGUUUUCACAGUAUUAUACUGUGUUCUCAACAGUUCCUUACUGUAGAAUCUGAGUACAGCAUAUUACUGUAGAUUUUGUCGUUUUCACAGCUUGUUACUGUAUUCUUAACAGUUUCCAACUGUAUAAGCUGUGUACAGUAUGUUACUGUAGAUUUUCAAUGCAUUCUGGGAAAAUAUUAGCCUACUGUAUAUCUAAAUACAGUAGGUUACUAAAUGACCGCGAAAAACAACCACACACCUCCUCACGCAUGACAGACUCAUCAUGAUGAAAGCCCACAACAAUAUGGUAGGUUAACUUUUCUUUUUUUCUCACUCUAUGUUUUAUUCUGAUGUUAGAUAUAAAGCUACGUUUUAGUUAAUUCAUUUUUAGUUAAAUACAUUUCCAUAAAAAUACAUGAGUAAGCGUUCAUUUUCUGGCAUUUUCCUCCUGCAGCGUGGUGAAGAUUAAAGUCCGAGGACGGAGUAGCCUACAUGAAAUUGGUAGGUGGGUAUACUUUAAAACACAUGUAAUUGUCUUAUCUGUUUUAUACAAGAGCCGUUGUGAAGACAAAAAGCCUAGGCCUAUUACCUGAAAUUGGUAGGUCAGUUUUAAAAUGCAUGUAAUCGCCUUUUUUGUUUUGUACCAAUAUUGUUUUAGUUUAUAAAUAUCCGUAAGAACAUCGAAGCGGGUGCUCAUUUCCCUGUUAAGCCGCACUAUCUUUCCUCCCGCAGCGGCGCUGGCAGAGACCGGCUGAACUAACGUGAGACAGGCGGGAAGAGUCGUUGUGAAGACGAAAAGCAUUCGUGAAAAUGCGGCGCUGGCAGAGACCGGCUGAAUUAACGUGAGACAGGCGGGAAGAGUCGUUGUGAAGACGAAAAGCAUUCGUGAAAAUGCAGCGCUGGCAGACGGGCUGAACCAUCGUGAGACGGGGGGAAGAGUCGUCGCAAUAAAGAAGACCCUUUUCUUUAUGGCACGUAGUUUUAAGAUGUAAGAUGAUAUGUAUUCACUGGUUAUUGUUGUAUACUGCUACUAAUUAAGUACUUUAACUCUUCAAACUUUAUUUUUAUAUUUCCAACAUUUAUUUUCCACUGGCACAAUGUGUUAAUGUGAUUUUAGUGGCAUGCAAUUUAAUUGUAUUUUGUUAAUUGAUGAAAUUAAUAUGCAGGUAAAUUUCUGUAUUGAAGUUCAGAAAUGUAAAAGAUGAAACCUAAAUAAAGUUGAUCUGAAGCAA